GACCUCGUGGCGCAAAGGUAGCGCGUCUGACUCCAGAUCAGAA
rnacentral:tRNA from 1 species